rnacentral:rRNA from 1 species
AACGAACGCUGGCGGCAGGCCCAACACAUGCAAGUCGAGCGCCCCGCAAGGGGAGCGGCAGACGGGUGAGUAACGCGUGGGAAUCUACCCAUCUCUACGGAAUAACGCAUGGAAACGUGUGCUAAUACCGUAUACGUCCUUCGGGAGAAAGAUUUAUCGGAGAUGGAUGAGCCCGCGUUGGAUUAGCUAGUUGGUGGGGUAAAGGCCUACCAAGGCGACGUUCCAUAGCUGGUCUGAGAGGAUGAGCAGCCACACUGGGACUGAGACACGGCCCAGACUCCUACGGGAGGCAGCAGUGGGGAAUAUUGGACAAUGGGCGCAAGCCUGAUCCAGCCAUGCCGCGUGAGUGACGAAGGCCCUAGGGUUGUAAAGCUCUUUCACCGGUGAAGAUAAUGACGGUAACCGGAGAAGAAGCCCCGGCUAACUACGUGCCAGCCGCCGCCGUAAAAC